GUUCUUCUCCUUCCUCUCCUCUCUCUUCCCUUUUCCCCACCACUUCAGUUGCUACAUAACAAGUAAUCAACAAUCCCCAGGAUUCUCCUAAAUAGAGAAAGAAGAUACUAUUAAAGGAAAUAAAUCUACUUUAUGCUAAACGAAAAUCCAAGCACUGAAAUAUCCAUUUAUACAAGCAGAAAGAAAACUAAAGAUCCAAGGCUAAAAAGAGAAGCAACUCGGUCUAGGAUCAACUACUCUUUUUAGGAUGUUAUAUACA
rnacentral:misc_RNA from 1 species